rnacentral:rRNA from 1 species
UACGGUAGGGUCCGAGCGUUGUCCGGAAUUACUGGGCGUAAAGAGCCCGUUAGGUGGUUUGUCGCGUUGUUCGUGAAAACUCACAGCUCAACUGUGGGCGUGCGGGCGAUACGGGCAGACUUGAGUACUGGCAGGGGGAGACUGGAAUUCCUGGUGUAGCGGUGGAAUGCGCAGAUAUCAGGAGGAACACCGGUGGCGAAGGCGGGUCUCUGGGCCGAUACUGACGCUGAGGAGCGAAAGCGUGGGGAGCGAACAGG